UUCUCUCUCUCUCACACACACACACACACACACACACACACACACAUACAGGACUGAACUAAAGAACACACACUUACCACCACCACCGCAGAACAAACAUGCCGGACUCAAAGACUCCUGUUGAGACCCCCGUACCCAACGCAUGCCAGUCCAUCAAGGCAGACCUGGACAAAUGUGUAAAGGAGAAAGGUGAAGGAGCGUGCAAGGAGCUGAUGGAGGCUUUUGUCACCUGUGUGAAGAGCAACACCACGACAUCAUGAGGAGCUUCAUACAGAGGACAUGUUGACUGCACUGAGUCCUCCACCUUCCCAGCAUUCUCUGCAGCACAGAACUGAAUGUCUCUGGUGGGAUUUGGCAGCAGAAACUCCCGUUCUGUCCUUUAUUUCCCUCGCAGCUGAAAGCUCUGGUCUGAUGUGGAGGCAGUUUGGGGAGAUCUUGGAGUUUUAAUGUACAUUUUCUGUCUGAAACAGUAAAAUAAAUGUAAACAUUUGUUACAGGAA